UACGAGAGGUGCAAGCGUUACUCGGAAUCACUGGGCGUAAAGCGCACGUAGGCGGAUUCGAAAGUCAAUUGUGAAAGCCCCGAGCUCAACUUGGGAAUUGCAGUUGAAACUUCGUUUCUUGAAUAUCUGAGAGGGUGGGGGAAUACCUAGUGGAGAAGUGAAAUUCGUAGAGAUUAGGUGGAACACCAGAGGCGAAGGCGCCUGCCUGGCAGAAUAUUGACGCUGAGGUGCGAAAGUGCGGGGAGCAAACAGG
rnacentral:rRNA from 1 species